UCUGAAGAAACUUUUCCUGCCUCUCUCUCUCUCUCUCUUUUUUUCCUUUCUUCCCUCUGUCCCCACCUCCAGCCCAAGCUUGGCCAGCCUCUCCAGCUCUGACAGCUCUUAAAGGGAAAGUUACAGGGCUAUGAUUUCACACUGGGGCAGUAAAUUCUCACGGAAGGAGCCGGGGCCAUCCUGCCAAGCCUACGAAGGGAAUACGGGAGCGCGCACGGCUGCUCGGCAGUGGUGUAGGUUUGUGCGAGGGAGUUCGUGACCCCAACGGUGACUCCGACGGUCUCUCCAUUUGUCGGCCUCGGACUGGGCCUCUCACCCGAUUCUGGCCAGUGAGACAUAGAGAGAAAUCUGCUGGGGGCUCCUAGAAGGGAUGGCAUCCCUUGGGGGG